rnacentral:lncRNA from 1 species
GACAGUGCUCUGCACAUUGUAAGUGCUCAAUAAAUAAUCACUGAUUAACUGAUCCUCUGAAUCUUAGGGCUGAGACCAAAGAAACAUGAAACGGAGAGACAUGGACAAGAGAGGAAACCAGAGAGAACUAGAGAUACAGAGACAGAAUGAUCGAGACCUGAAGACUGCACAGUGUUCUGCACACGGUAAGCGCUCAUUUAAAGCACUGAUGAUGACACAGUCUAACUUCCAGGGCCUGCUAGGCCCAGACAUCUCCCUCUUCUUCAUGAUUCCCCCUUCUCUGCCUCCAUCCAGACACACACCAAAUGCCAGGAAGUGAUGAUGAUGGCUAAUGGUUAUAAAAACGAAUACAACCUCAGUGGACCAUUUCGGUGGCAUUCCCUGAAGGGACUCCUUAAUUGGGAAGUUGAUGCAACCUAUCUUACCUUUGAGAGAACCAGGAGCCCAGUCUUCUCAGGCUUUUCCCCCAUCAACUUUUCGCUUGCAUCAACUUCAGAGGGAGACUCUCACAAGAAAGGGAUCUGCAGCAGGCCAUGCACAGGUUUGGAGAACCAAGUGUGUAGAAAAUCCAAGGACUUCCUGUAGAAAAGGAGUUAAAGAGGAUUUGUCAGGUGAGAUUUAGGAAUUUUAAGUUACUUGUGAGUAAAGGGACCUGAAAUUUUAGGUAACAGGCAAGUAACUUAAUUUUCUCUAACUGAAAAUGACCUUUUUAUUUUCUUUUAAGAUAUAUAACU